rnacentral:rRNA from 1 species
UACAGAGGGUGCGAGCGUUGUCCGGAAUCACUGGGCGUAAAGGGCGCGUAGGUGGCGACCCAAGUCCAUGGUGAAAGCUCGAUGCUCAACAUCGAGUCGGCCACGGAUACUGGGUUGCUGGAGCACUGUAGAGGCAGAUGGAAUUCCUGGUGUAGCGGUGAAAUGCGUAGAUAUCAGGAGGAACACCGGUGGUGUAAACGGCUCUCUGGACCGUAACUGACGCUGAGACACGAAAGCGUGGGUAGCAAACAGG